GAUGAACGCUGGCGGCGUGCCUAAUACAUGCAAGUCGAGCGAACAGACGAGGAGCUUGCUCCUCUGACGUUAGCGGCGGACGGGUGAGUAACACGUGGAUAACCUACCUACAAGACUGGGAUAACUUCGGGAAACCGGAGCUAAUACCGGAUAAUAUAUUGAACCGCAUGGUUCAAUAGUGAAAGACGGUUUUGCUGUCACUUAUAGAUGGAUCCGCGCCGCAUUAGCUAGUUGGUAAGGUAACGGCUUACCAAGGCAACGAUGCGUAGCCGACCUGAGAGAGUGAUCGGCCACACUGGAACUGAGACACGGUCCAGACUCCUACGGGAGGCAGCAGUAGGGAAUCUUCCGCAAUGGGCGAAAGCCUGACGGAGCAACGCCGCGUGAGUGAUGAAGGUCUUCGGAUCGUAAAACUCUGUUAUUAGGGAAGAACAAAUGUGUAAGUAACUAUGCACGUCUUGACGGUACCUAAUCAGAAAGCCACGGCUAACUACGUG
rnacentral:rRNA from 1 species